CAGGCCUAACACAUGCAAGUCGAGCGGAAACGAUCCUAGCUUGCUAGGAGGCGUCGAGCGGCGGACGGGUGAGUAACGCGUGAGAAUCUACCCAUGAGUGGGGGACAACCCGGGGAAACUCGGGCUAAUACCGCAUACGCCCUACGGGGUAAAGCAGGGGACCUUCGGGCCUUGCGCUGAUGGAUGAGCUCGCGUCGGAUUAGCUUGUUGGUGAGGUAAAGGCUCACCAAGGCGACGAUCCGUAGCUGGUCUGAGAGGAUGAUCAGCCACACCGGGACUGAGACACGGCCCGGACUCCUACGGGAGGCAGCAGUGGGGAAUCUUGGACAAUGGGGGCAACCCUGAUCCAGCCAUGCCGCGUGUGUGAAGAAGGCCUUCGGGUUGUAAAGCACUUUCAGCAGGGAGGAAGGCUUCGGGCUAAUACCCUGGAGUACUUGACGUUACCUGCAGAAGAAGCACCGGCUAAUUUCGUGCCAGCAGCCGCGGUAAUACGAAAGGUGCAAGCGUUAAUCGGAAUUACUGGGCGUAAAGCGCGCGUAGGCGGUGCGUUAAGUAGGAUGUGAAAGCCCAGGGCUCAACCUUGGAAUUGCAUCCGAUACUGGCACGCUAGAGUGCAGUAGAGGGAGGUGGAAUUUCCGGUGUAGCGGUG
rnacentral:rRNA from 1 species